AUUGAUCUAUUUCAGGGAGAGAAAGGAAGGGAGAAAGGGAGAAACAUCUAUUUUUGUUGGUCCACUUAUUCACGCAUUCAUUGGUUAUUUCUCGCAUGUGCUGGCUGGAGACCAAAUCCUCAGCCUUGGCAUAUGGAGACCAUGCUCUCACCAGCUGAGCUAUGCAGCCAAGGCCUCCAUCUGAUUUCAUUCCAAGACAGGUUCAUUCUAUAUGGUGGUAAUAAUGACUGCAGGAGAAUAUGCUCAGAAGAGCUCCAGCUAGUUUGGCUCCUAAUUGGCCUUCUUAGAACCAAACACUACAGAAAGGGAAUGAGUUUUUGAGCUUAAGAGAAUGGGGGCAGCUACCUUCAAAUCACUUGGAUUCUGAAUCACCUGAGCCCUGACCAAUGUGGCUCAGUGGAU